UUCUUAUCAAGAGAGGCGGAGGGAUAACGGCCCUAUGAUGCCCGGCAACCGAUCCACGCAAGUGUGGAGUUCGGUGCCAAUUCCGCCGGACGCAAGGUCCGGAAGAUGAGAG
rnacentral:ncRNA from 2 species